rnacentral:misc_RNA from 1 species
CUCAAAUCAGGAAAGGAGACGGGAUGGAAUUGGAUCAGCUCUUUCAUAAUGCCUCCUAUUUGAGAGAGAGAAAUGCUUGCAUAAAUCCUUUUGAUUUAGGUGUGCUUGCGGAAGCCUUUCAUAUGAGAAAAACUACUCCUGUUGACCUGCCUUCUGCUGAGAGAGGGAUCCCUACUGCAAUAAUGAAGUCAAGGAGCAAAUUCACAAAAGACAAGGAAAUGACGCACAAAAAGCACAAGGACAAGGAUCAGAAUAAGCAUAAACAUUGCAAAGAGGAUGGAAGUAAUAAUAAGGAUAGAAAAAGAAGUGCAUCGUCUCCUCUUGUCAUGUUGUUUC